UACGUAGGGUCCAAGCGUUAUCCGGAAUCACUGGGCGUAAAGCGCGCGCAGGCGGUCUUCCAAGUCAGUGGUGAAAGCCUGGAGCUCAACUCCAGAACUGCCAUUGAAACUGUUAGACUUGAGUACGAGAGAGGUGAGUGGAAUUCCCAGUGUAGAGGUGAAAUUCGUAGAUAUUGGGAAGAACACCAGUGGCGAAGGCGGCUCACUGGCUCGUAACUGACGCUCAGGCGCGACAGCGUGGGGAUCGAAACAGG
rnacentral:rRNA from 1 species